UUGAUGCCGUCGCGUUGGUUGUGGUACGAAUCGGCUUAGUGCGAAACAUAUUUAAUUCCGACGUGAUUAUCUCCCUUUGACUUUUCUGCGGCAUUUGUAACGAUUGUUAAACGUUUUGGGGGAAAACGAUCUUCGAAGAGUUUUUAAGUUCUAAAUAGUGGCAAAGAGUUUUCACGUGAGCAUUGCGAACAAUACAAUCGAAAUUGCGGAAAUAAACUGUAUUAAGCUCUCA